rnacentral:rRNA from 1 species
AUUGAACGCUGGCGGCAGGCCUAACACAUGCAAGUCGAGCGAGCGGCGGACGGGUGAGUAAUGUCUGGGGACCUUCCUGAUUGAGGGGGAUAACUCCUGGAAACGGUAGCUCAUACCGCCUACCAUCAGCUUUGCCCAGAUGGGAUUAGCUAGUAGUUGGGGUAACGGAUCACCUAGGCGACGAUCGCUAUCUGGUCUGAGAGGAUGACCAGACACACUGGAACUGAGACACGGCCCAGACUCCUACGGGAGGCAUCAGUGGGAAAUAAUGCACAAUGGGCGCAAGCCUGAUGCAGCCAUGCCGCGUGUGUGAAGAAGGCCUUCGGGUUGUAAAGCACUUUCAGCGGGGAGGCGUUACCCGAAGAAGAAGCACCGGCUAACACCGUGCCAGCAGCCGCGGUAAUAC